rnacentral:rRNA from 1 species
AACGAACGCUGGCGGCAUGCCUAACACAUGCAAGUCGAACGAGACCUUCGGGUCUAGUGGCGCACGGGUGCGUAACGCGUGGGAACCUGCCCUUAGGUUCGGAAUAACUCCCUGAAAGGGGUGCUAAUACCGGUUAAUGUCUUCCGACCAACGAUUUGUCGCCUUUGGAUGGGCCCGCGUUGGAUUAGCUAGUUGGUAGGGUAAAAGCCUACCAAGGCGUCGAUCCAGGGCUGGUCUGGGAGGAUGAUCAGCCACGCUGGGACUGAGACACGGCCCAGACUCGUACGGAAGGCAGCAGUGGGGAGUAUUGGACGAUGGGCGAAGGCCUGAUCCAGCAGUGCCGCGGAAGUGAUGAAGGCCUUAGGGUUGUAAAGCUCUUUUACCCGGGAUGAUAAUGACGGUACCGGGAGAAUAAGCUCCGGCUAACUCCGUG